GGCGAAGCCGUGAGGCGGAGCGAAUCCCAAAAAUAAACGUCCCAGUUCGGAUUGUAGUCUGCAACCCGACUACAUGAAGCUGGAAUCGCUAGUAAUCGCGAAUCAGCAUGUCGCGGUGAAUACGUUCCCGGGUCUUGUACACACCGCCCGUCACACCAUGGGAGUUGGAAAUGCCCGAAGUCAGUGACCCAACCGAGAGGAGGGAGCUGCCGAAGGCAGGUUCGAUAACUGGGGUGAAGUCGUAACAAGGUAAC
rnacentral:rRNA from 1 species